rnacentral:lncRNA from 1 species
UAAUCCGAAAAUUCCCUUUCAAGUUCAUUUCGCGCCCGAUUUGUGCCCGAAUACCCAAUUACCUCCAGAGAUCAUUCCCACACGUCCAGAAACACUCUGGAAUGAUGCACAUCCAAUUCACAUUUCACUUUAAUAUUCCAGAUUAAAAUUAGCAUCGCAACCCGAAAUUUUUCGUAUAUUACAAUCUCCCCUCCUUAAAUAGUUUCGUCCUCGAAACUAAAAUUCAUACCUCAAUCUUCUUGAUCAAAUAGAU